ensembl:piRNA 21ur-4692 ncRNA
AUAUUGGUAGAAUGAAAAUUU